rnacentral:rRNA from 1 species
GAUGAACGCUGGCGGCGUGCCUAAUACAUGCAAGUCGAGCGAACAGACGAGGAGCUUGCUCCUCUGACGUUAGCGGCGGACGGGUGAGUAACACGUGGAUAACCUACCUAUAAGACUGGGAUAACUUCGGGAAACCGGAGCUAAUACCGGAUAAUAUAUUGAACCGCAUGGUUCAAUAGUGAAAGACGGUUUUGCUGUCACUUAUAGAUGGAUCCGCGCCGCAUUAGCUAGUUGGUAAGGUAACGGCUUACCAAGGCAACGAUGCGUAGCCGACCUGAGAGGAGGAUCGGCCACACUGGAAAUGAGACACGGUCCAGACUCAUGCGGGAGGAAGCAGUGGGGAAUAGUGGACAAGGGGCGAAAGCCUGAGGGAGCAACCCCGCGGGGGUGAAGAAGGCCUUCGGGUUGUAAAGCUCUUUUGUUGGGAAAGAAAAAGAGUAGGUGAAUACCCCGCGGUUUUGACGGUACAAAAAAAAAAAGCACCGGAUAACUUCGUG